UCGCACUUGUCGGGAUGCCUAGUCUUGUAGUACCAGCAUCAAGGAAAGUUUCAAGGCAUCCAUAGGGACUCCAGUUGUCUGUCCAAAACCCCCCCUGACUUUGGCUUCGUCGUCCAAUAGUUUUGGAUUGAUCCUUUUAGAAUGACCUCUUUGAACCAUGAGACCCAAACUGAAUCAGGUCUGAAGAAGAGGAGCCAAACAAGGCGCAGAGAGCAGGCUUUGUUCCACGUGUAGAGAUCCUUCACGCCCAAGCCUCCUUGGUCUUUUUUGUUAGCGUCACAGUAUCCCAAGAAACUCUUGCCGUGUUUUUGCUCUCGACAUCACCUCUCCACAAGAAGACCAGGAGGAGAAUUUGGACUUCAUUUGCUGCAGCAGAACAUUACAGUUGGAGAGGGACAGCUUUCUGGAGUUGAGAGGAACCCCCAAGUAUCGAAAAGGUAAACUUCCACAUGACAUUCCAGUAGAUACUUGAAUCCGGUUGAUUUCAUCAUCUGUGAGUCCUGAGGCAAAGAAACUUGUCUUCUGCAUGCUGAUAGCCGGGCCCGAGCGGUUUUCAAAGUCCUUGAGCACUUUGCAAGACGCAUUGCACAGACUCAAUGGAACCAUCUAUGAAGAUAAGGAAAUCAUCUGCAAAGGAUUAAUGGAUACAAGCCCGGAGCCAAGAUAGGAACUGGUCUGGUACAUUAAUUCCUUUCAGACAAGAGAAGAGAAAAUCCCAAGACAGGGUAUCAAAAGCCUUGGCGAUAUCCACUUUGAUGAUGUAGGCAGGAACCCAGACAAGAAGAAAUGCCUGACAGCAAUCACCACUUCUUCCCCAACAACCUCCCAAGCGGCUUUGAAGAAACCAGAUAUUAGUCCGUCGGGACCCGGUGCUUUGUUGGGAUUAAGUUUGAAGACCAGAAACUUUAUCUCUUCAGGAGAUGGAAUGGUUAGAGCAGUCUGAGCUGAGACCCUGAAAGGCUGCAACGAAUCAAACCACUCUAUGAGGAGUAGAUGUAGGCUGCUGAAUGGACAGUAGGACCGAGGAAAACGAAAUGGAAUCGAAAUGAAAUAAUAGUCUAAGAAUAGGUUUUCAAUAAUUACGGGGUUCGACAUGGCUGUUCUGAUUUCUGAUUAAGACCUUGGCAUGGAAUCUAGGUACGUUGGGCCAUCUAAGAGCAUUUUCUGAGGAGUUCUCACUCAA